rnacentral:lncRNA from 1 species
AUGCUCACCUUUAAUGCCUGGUUCUUGGGCUUGUUUUCCUUGGCAAGGCCCCCACAGGAGUGGAAUUUCGGCCGAAGGGAGCCCAAUUGUCAUCUUCUAAGCAUGUUCCCAGGCCGGGGGCCGGGGAGGGCUCUGACUGAUGCUCCAUUUCCGUCCCCAGAAGUGCUGGAACGUUCCUGGGAUCUAGGGAGCAGCCUCCAGUCCUGGAAGCUGUCCCAGAUUUCUGGAAUGUUGGAAUUCAAACGGCCUCCUGCCCAUUUUCCGGAGGAGGAACAUGAGACCCAGAGAGGGGAAGGAGUUGGCCUGAGGUCAUACGAUGUGCAGAGGCGAGCUAGAGUUUGCCGGGAGAAGGUGCGGGUGUGUGGACAAGUCAGCAUCUAUCUCCCAUUUUCAGAGCCCUAGAGUGUGAUGGGAUCGCUGGCUCUCCGCCUGAGCCCUGUCGGGAGUUCCAGGUGUCCACUUGCCCCCAAGGCUGAGCACUGCACAGGAAAGACGGCCAGGAAAAGCAAAAUCUUGGGCAGGUGCUGCUGACCCAUUGGGUAGGAGGUCUAAGAAUCCAGAUCUGCAGGAUGGGGGACGAGGCGGUGGGGGACUUUUCUCUGGAGUGGGACCCUCCCUUGGAAGCCGGACUGGAUGGGUAACAUCGCUCUGCUGGGCUGUCACUAACCAAUCAAAACCAGUGGCCACUUGCCAAUCUUCUAUCUUUGUCCAGGGCAGAAUUGAAUCUUGUUCAAAUAAACUCAAAGGCCAGGUAGAUCACUGAAGCAAAGACUGGAGAAUUUGGCACUCUGUAGCCUGCCAGCCCUACCCAAACAUCCUCAAGGGAUCUGCAUGACCAGCUCAUUGCCCUGCCUACUCCGAACAGAGAAUGUGGGAAGAGGCCCCGGACCUCUGUGCAGCGGUGGAGGCCCGCUUGGCUGCUCCUGACCUGCGCCUCUGGCCUCUUCAGCCUUUCCUCCAAAUUCCACUCUGUGCACAAGCUGCUGGUCACCUCCCUGCACACGCUGUGUGGCUUCCGGCCUCGGGGCCUCUGCACAUGCAGUCUCCUCCACUGAGUUCUCCCGGAAACAGGCCCUCAGACACGAAUUCAAGUGCAAGGAAUAUAUUUUGGGUGGUGAUCUCAGGAAGCACCCAUAGCAGGUUAGGUCAUCAAAAUAGGGAAGAAAGACCAUAAAAUAAAUGGUAUGAAACCAGUCACCACUGUGGGCAACUAGACUUCAGACCCAUCAGGGAACUCUGGGAGACAGUGAAGAGCAUGCGUUUCAGUCAUUCCAACCCAGUCGCAAGGGGAGGGAUCACGUACCUUCCAACAUCCCCCAGUCGUGAGCUGCGGGCUGAUUCCAGGGGCUAGUUCCAACUCUCUGGAACUUCUGACUGAGCGUGCACCCACAGCCAAAUGAAAGCGCUUAAGCAGACAUCUGCAGUGAGCAAGAGUGGGCAUCUGUCUGGGGCACACGGGCCGGGUAGCAACAGCGUCUGCUACAAAUGUUUCUUGCUUCCUGAUCUUUUACAAGCAGACUCCUAUUCACUCUUCAAAGCCCAGCUCAGAUGUGACCCCCUCGGGGAAGCCUUCCCUGACCCUCCUAAAUCAGUCAAUCACUUCAUGAGCUUCUAAUAUCUGCAUGAAUCACAGUGGAUUCUUAUUGCUUGUCCCACAGGGGAGUGAACAACGUAAGGUCAAGGGUUUUACAUCUUGGGCGUUAAGAACACGCAUGUCACGCAGUCUUGAGUUCUGCUCUCCUGGCCCCUCUGAAC